rnacentral:sRNA from 1 species
UUUGUACAAUAUAAAGUCCAAAUCUAUUCAAAUUCAAUGCCAGUUCUGAGAGAAAUAAGGGUUUCCACAUUCACAACGGCCGAUUUGAUUCCGACUAAGCUAGGUAAAGUUUCUACAAUAGAACAAAAAACGAUUUAGGUCUACGGAUUGAAAUUGACGCAAAAACCUUAGAGAAAUGGGGGAAAACUUACAUAAGAGGAAUGCAAAACACAAUUUGUUGAAGAGAGAAAUCGGAGAUGCUUGCGUUGGAGGAAUCAAUUGCAACUUGCGAGAGAGAACUCGGGUCACUCGCUUACCGGAUCGAACUGUAUAAGAUCAGUGGCUCGACAAUCAAAAAAAAA